rnacentral:misc_RNA from 1 species
UGUAACAGUCAGGUUUGAUACCUGCCUCUUCCAUAUCUUUAAGCAUCUUCUGUGCUUCCUCAAUCUUAUUUUUCCUACAAAGUGCCCCAAUCAGAGAAUUGUAGCAGAUAAUAUCCAAGUCAACCCUAGCUUCUUUCGCCUUUGAAGCAAUACAGGAGGCCUCAUCUGUUCUUCGAGCCUGGCAAAGGCCCAUGAUCAAACUGUAGUAUGCCCUGGCAUCAGGGAG